rnacentral:rRNA from 1 species
GCGAGCUACGUGACAGCGCACGGGGGAAAAGGGGAGGGGCGAGGGUUAUAGUGAGUUAUGGGGCGGAAAGGGCACGCGGGCGGCGGGGUAAGUCUGACGUGAAAUCGCCUGGCUUAACUGGGAGGGGGCGGUGGAAACUGAUGUGCUUGAGGCGGUGAGAGGGGUGUAGAAUUCCCGGUGUAGUGGUGGAAUGCGUAGAUAUCGGGAGGAAUACCAGUGGCGAAAGCGGCACCCUGGCACUAGCCUGACGCUCAUGUGCGAAGGCGUGGGGAGCGAACGGGAUUAGAUACCCGAGUAGUC